GGCUCUCGUGGAGCUCUGAAAAUGGCGGCACCAGCAUCCGCGCUUCGCCUCCUCCCUCCUCUCCCUCCAUUUGGCGCCGCGUCCGCCGCACGGCCUCGGCGGCAUCGUCUCGUGUCGUUCGAGGCUCGGCGCGUCUCUCCGGCGAAUGCAUCUUCCUCCUGCUCCUCCGGUGGGAGAAGAGUCGGUCCCAUCGUCCUCGCCAGAGCUGCUACUCCACUCUGCACGAGGCACCAACAGGAAGAAGACGAGGAGGAAGUUGGAAGUGAAGAGGACGAGGAAUUAGAAGAUAUCGAACACGAAGGCUAUGGAGAAGAAGAAGAGGACGACGGGCAAGACCUGCAAGCUGUCAACAUAGCCGAAGAUGUUACGCAGUUGAUUGGGAGAACGCCCAUGGUAUAUCUCAACAAGGUCACGAAAGGCUGUGUAGCUAAUGUUGCUGCUAAACUUGAAUCUAUGGAACCAUGCCGAAGCGUUAAAGAUAGAAUUGCUUAUAGCAUGAUAACUGAUGCUGAAGAGCGAGGAGUAAUCUCACCCGGAAAGAGCAUACUGGUUGAACCGACCACUGGAAAUACAGGACUUGGCAUUGCUUUUGUCGCUUCAGUCAAGGGUUACAAAGUAAUUGUUACCAUGCCUGCAUCGAUUAAUGUUGAAAGGAGAAUACUAUUACGUGCUUUUGGUGCCGAUAUUGUUUUGACUGACCCUGAGAGAGGCCUGCAAGGUGCUGUUGACAAAGCUAAAGAACUCGCCCUUAGGAUGCCAAAUGCAUACAUGUUUCAACAGUUCAAUAAUCAGGCGAAUGCAAAGAUACAUUUCGAAACCACAGGACCGGAAAUAUGGGAGGAUACAAUGGGUAAUGUUGACAUACUCAUUGCUGGAAUUGGAACUGGUGGUACAGUUACGGGUACUGGGCGUUACUUGAAAAUGAUGAACAGAGCCACUAAGGUAAUUGGUGUGGAACCUGCAGAGAGGAGUAUAAUAUCAGGGGAAAAUUCAGGAUACGUCCCUAGCAUCUUGGAUGUUAAAUUGCUUGAUGAGGUUGUCAAGGUUACCAAUGAUGAAGCCAUCCAAAUGGCAAGGAGGUUAGCUUUGGAAGAAGGUUUAUUGGUUGGCAUUUCUUCUGGAGCUGCUGCAGCUGCUGCCAUUAGUGUAGCAAGAAGACCUGAAAAUGCAGGAAAACUUAUAGUGGUAAUUUUUCCGAGUUUUGGAGAGAGGUACAUCGCUACGGUUUUGUUCAAUUCUAUCCACGAGGAAGUUCGAAAAUUGUGACAGUGUAAGAAUUUGAGACGGAUGAACUUCCCCCUCCAAGCCAAGGGGCGAGCUUGUCUAUACUGUCUUUCGCAAAUGAAGAGGGCUUGUCUACAUUCUGAUGGAGAGAACUAAAAUGAGCUGACUUUUGGAGCAAUUUUCUCAUGGAAGCACCGAAAGUAGGCAUAAAAUGUUGUGGACAUCCUCGGACUUGCUCGCCCAAGAAAAGAGAUGAUAAAGACAGGUGGAUUUUCCUUGAAUUGUCCCAUCGUUCAGUCCCUUACGAACUGAUCGAUAUCCCAUAAUCAGAUGGCUGUUCGUCCUAGUUUGUGUGUACGCAAAGAUCGAAGCAAACUUGUAGGGCAAGGUUGAUCUGCUUCUCAACGAGUCCAUCGAUCAUCCUCAAUAUGUUUCAUCCUUUUGCCCUCUGCCGUAGUUACCAUAGAUGUUUCGUUUAUUACUGGAGAAAGAGGGUGUCUAUACAAAUGUAUGAAAUAGUCAACAGGGCAUUUCCUCUCUGUUUUUUUCUGCAACUGUAAAUAUGCAUCAGCAUCAAUUGAUGACUUGGUUAUCUUUCGAAUC